rnacentral:rRNA from 1 species
ACUCCUACGGGAGGCAGCAGUGGGGAAUCUUGCGCAAUGGGCGAAAGCCUGACGCAGCCAUGCCGCGUGAAUGAUGAAGGUCUUAGGAUUGUAAAAUUCUUUCACCGGGGGACGAUAAUGACGGUACCCGGAGAAGAAGCCCCGGCUAACUUCGUGCCAGCAGCCGCGGUAAUACGAAGGGGGCUAGCGUUGCUCGGAAUUACUGGGCGUAAAGGGAGCGUAGGCGGACUGUUUAGUCAGAGGUGAAAGCCCAGGGCUCAACCUUGGAAUUGCCUUUGAUACUGGCAGUCUUGAGUACGGAAGAGGUAUGUGGAACUCCGAGUGUAGAGGUGAAAGUUCGUAGAUAUUCGGAAGAACACCAGUGGCGAAGGCGACAUACUGGUCCGUUACUGACGCUGAGGCUC